UGACCUGCCAUAUUCUCUCCAAAAAAUAGAAGGGUUAAUUUCAGCUAGCAAACAAGCUCAGCCAGGUCCUGUAUCUCAUCCACCCCAUCAGUAAUAUCUCACAUCAUUCCAGCAAUCUCAAGAAUUACUCCAACUGAGUCACAUUCUGGAAAUGUGUUUGGACUAUUCAGGCGUGGCUCUCAUGAUGACCUUAGUGUUCUCAUAAUUAGAGAUACUGAAGACCUUACCUUCUCUGCCAUGUGAGGAUACAGGAUGAAGGUGUCACCUGCAAGCCAGGAAGAAAGUCCUCAUGAAGACCUGACCAUAUGGCAUCCUGAUGUUGGGCUUCUGGCCUCCAAAAUCAUGAUAAAUAAAUUUCUG
rnacentral:lncRNA from 10 species